GACGAACGCUGGCGGCGUGCUUAACACAUGCAAGUCGAACGGAAAGGCCCCUUUGGGGGUACUCGAGUGGCGAACGGGUGAGUAACACGUGAGUAACCUGCCCUUGACUUCGGGAUAACUUCAGGAAACUGGGGCUAAUACCGGAUAGGAAUCCUUGCUGCAUGGUGGGGGUUGGAAAGCUUCGGCGGUUUUGGAUGGACUCGCGGCUUAUCAGCUUGUUGGUAGGGUAGUGGCUUACCAAGGCUUUGACGGGUAGCCGGCCUGAGAGGGCGACCGGCCACAUUGGGACUGAGAUACGGCCCAGACUCCUACGGGAGGCAGCAGUGGGGAAUAUUGCACAAUGGGCGGAAGCCUGAUGCAGCAACGCCGCGUGCGGGAUGACGGCCUUCAGGUUGUAAACCGCUUUCAGCAGGGGCGAAGCUUGUGGUGACGGUACCUGCAGAAGAAGCACCGGCUAACUACGUG
rnacentral:rRNA from 1 species